ACUAUCAAACAGGAUCAGCUAAAGUAGACGUUCAGACUUCGACGGUCAAGCGACUCCUUGCCAACGCUCGUCAUGAUUCCGAUGGGGGGAGGCGCCACCACCGAUUGUGGCGCCCUGUUCAUUAGAAAAUUAUCUCAUCAUUUCUAAUGAGUAGUAAAUAAUGAGGAGAAUUUAAUUCUCUUCUGCAAAGGGACAAUUAAAUUCUCUUUCGUAUAACGUUGGUUUCAUAAUUUAGUACUCAUUAGAAACGAAGAGACAAUUUUUUAAUGAACAGGGGCCCUCCCACUACCGGAAGAGACGGUGGUGCCUCCCAGCGCCGGAAAAGACGGUGGCGCUUCCCCCCCCCCUGGAAUUGUAACUAAUGUUGGCGUGGGGUCGCCAGACCCCCGCGAUCAGUCCCGGCUUCAGUAUUUUCUCUUUGUUAUUAUGACGCGAAUAUUAACGUUUGGCGAUGUUGGUUGACCUCGGUAUGUGUUCUAUUUGUGUUGUGUUUAUUUAAUUAAUGCAUUAUACUGCUCAUUUGAUUGGUGAAUCGCCAGCAUUUCUGAAAGAUGCCAACCGGACAUGGUACGGAAAAAAACGGGAAGUGAGUAACGUAACUGCGGGGGUUCUCAUCACUGAGUGACAUUUUUGGCCAUUUUGUGAGUUUUAUCGAAUUAAUGGACAGUUUUAUGAGGGUUCGUGAAAAGAAUGGGGCUUCUACUUCAAUUCAUUCGGAAUUAGAUGACUCACACGUUGAGGAAAUCGUCAAAAUAAAUCGUGAAACGCGAUGGCCGCGACGAGCCGCCAUUUUUGGUCCUUUGUUGUGAAGUGAACAGUGAAGUGAACAGUGAAAUAACGGCGGGGGUGAACUUCUAGCAGUGGUUUUUCAUCAUGUAAGUGAGGAAAUAAUCUACUGAUCAUUGGUAUCACACCUUCAAUUAAUAAUGAAUGUUUCGAAAUAUUAAAAAACUCAGGUCGAUUAGUAAUUAAAUACAUAAUGUGGGGUAAUCAGAAACCUGUGGAAUUCUAACCUGCAGUGGAAAUCAGUGUUAUUCAACUUGGAUAUUCCUACAGUUUUCUGUGGUUCUGAUGAUUAUAGUGAUCGACAGUGACAACAGUGUGUGCUAUAAAUGAAAUAUCAACAGAACAGUGAUGACUAAGUGCCUGAGUUUUUGAAAAUCAACAGCCUUUCAGCUAUCAGUGAUCAGCUGUCGGCCAAGGAGCUCAAACAAGAGUUUCUACGUGAAGGUCAAAUCGUCUUAUUUUCAUGUUGACGUGAGGAUCCUGGAGCUGCAGCAAUACUACCUGGAAAAAUAAUGGAUCUCACAACCGAGAAAAAAAAAAUAUAUAUAUAUCUUGAAGGCCGUCUUCGUGGGUCGAGGGAGUGGACUCAGGGCGAUUAAUCUCUGGAGAUAUGAUGUUUGACCCACCAGUCGUUGUGGGAAAGAGGAAGUUCAAGGGAUGAUGACUACUAUCGCCAGGGCGAGGGUCCGAGUGCGGUUCAAAAUACAUUAAGGGGCAUAAGAAACGACCGUAAAAGUCGGGAAUGAGAUUUCAGUUUUAUGGAUGUUAUUUUGCGCCCAAUUUAUUUUCAAAUUUCAAGUUUACAACGUCGAUAAGACAAUUUCCAUUUUAUAAUGGUUUGAAAAAUCCGGCGGGACAAGAAAAUUGACUUGUAGAAAUUGCAUUUCACAUCCUCUUAAAUUACCAGUUUUGAAUGCAUAAAAAAAAAUUCUCCCAAAAUUUUGCUCUCCAUAAUUUGAAAUAUCUAUAUCUCCGAAAAUCCCUACGUGGGAUGGAUGAUUAAGACGAUCAGUGGAUAGUAUUUUAUUUUAUUAUUUAUUUAUGUUGCAGAAAAUUCGUUUCCAGUUCCCGGAAGAAUUUACAACUGACCAUAAUCCGAGGGCUUUCAGGGGAUAUUUUCUUUUAUUUUUUCUUCGAGAAAAUUGUAAGAUGUGAAUGAAUUGAAGGGAUCGCCCUUCAAUGAAUUAAUUUACGAUUUAAUUAACAUAAUCACUUACGUUGCCAGUGAUUUAAUUUACGAGCUUGGCAUAAGUCAUCAUAGUGUCAAAGGAAAAGUGUUUGCGUGAUGUAACAGGUUUAUUACGGUUGAGUUUAGGAUUUUGGGGAUUCCUGGGAUGACUGAGGGUGGCCUCUGUGGCUCUUUGUGGGGUGACUUUUCUAGGGCAAAGGUUGCUCAGUUUAAGCAUGGGUGUGAGUGAUAAAAUGAUUGUCCUUUAGACGAGAAAAUUACGAGUGGGUCAGUUGUGAGUUGGAGUUCGGGUUUAACAGAUCAUCGAUGCAGAUGAAGAUUAAUAUUUGUGAAGAGCCUAGUAAAUAUUUAACAAAUGUGCGCGAGCACUGAAACAACUUCAUUCAAAUACUUCUUUCAUUUGUCAAUACUCUUCGUAUAUUGUCUAGUUAAUUAACAAAAAACACGAAAAGAAUUUUUGGAUAAAAAUUCGAUCUCCAGAGAACGAAACGUGGGACGAAAUUUUUCACUGCAAAUAUUUCCCGAAGUUUUAAUGUUUCACUGGCAGAAUUCAAAUAUUUUUCAUUGUCAUUCAACGUCAACAGACAAUGCACCAUAUCUACAUUUUAUUUAUUUAAAUUCUAUUGGGACUCAACCACUGAAAAUUCGAACGAGAAUUACAAAAGAUACGAGAAAGAUAGAAAAUCUAAUGGAAUAAAUGGAAUUGAAGAAAUAAAAAUGAACAUUUACUGGCAUUACCACCACCCCGGUAGAUUGCCACCUCCUUUUGUCCCCGUCUUUCUUCUAUUUUUCAUAGAAAUAGUCGCGAAAAAAAAAAAAAGAUAUAGAUACUUCCUGUGGUGCCAUUAUGGGAGCGAUAGCGCGGCUCGUUUGUUCCGACUGAAGCUUCCGUGCGACUUCUUCCUCAACUGAAAGACCAAUCCAUACGACUUUUACCAGUUUACUCUUCUCUUUUCAUCCCUCAGCCAAACCCUCGUCCGUUUCUCCGUCACUCAGAAAUUUUCGCGCAGAAAGGAGUACAGAAGUACCUAAAAGCAUCUAUUGUUUCGCGAAUGGAGUGCGAUGAUGUGACAAAGGAGUGUUUCGAUUAUU